rnacentral:rRNA from 1 species
AUUGAACGCUGGCGGCAUGCCUUACACAUGCAAGUCGAACGGCAGCGCGGGCUUCGGCCUGGCGGCGAGUGGCGAACGGGUGAGUAAUGCAUCGGAACGUGCCCAGUAGUGGGGGAUAGCCCAGCGAAAGCCGGAUUAAUACCGCAUACGACCUGAGGGUGAAAGCGGGGGACCGAAAGGCCUCGCGCUAUUGGAGCGGCCGAUGUCGGAUUAGCUAGUUGGUGGGGUAAAGGCUUACCAAGGCGACGAUCCGUAGCUGGUCUGAGAGGACGACCAGCCACACUGGGACUGAGACACGGCCCAGACUCCUACGGGAGGCAGCAGUGGGGAAUUUUGGACAAUGGGGGCAACCCUGAUCCAGCCAUGCCGCGUGCGGGAAGAAGGCCUUCGGGUUGUAAACCGCUUAUGUUCGGGAAGAAAUCCUCUGGGCUAAUACCCCGGGGGGAUGACGGUACCGGAAGAAUAAGCACCGGCUAACUACGUG